rnacentral:rRNA from 1 species
AGAGUUUGAUCCUGGCUCAGAGUGAACGCUGGCGGUAGGCCUAACACAUGCAAGUCGAACGGCAGCACAGGAGAGCUUGCUCUCUGGGUGGCGAGUGGCGGACGGGUGAGGAAUACAUCGGAAUCUACUCUGUCGUGGGGGAUAACGUAGGGAAACUUACGCUAAUACCGCAUACGACCUACGGGUGAAAGCAGGGGACCUUCGGGCCUUGCGCGAUUGAAUGAGCCGAUGUCGGAUUAGCUAGUUGGCGGGGUAAAGGCCCACCAAGGCGACGAUCCGUAGCUGGUCUGAGAGGAUGAUCAGCCACACUGGAACUGAGACACGGUCCAGACUCCUACGGGAGGCAGCAGUGGGGAAUAUUGGACAAUGGGCGCAAGCCUGAUCCAGCCAUACCGCGUGGGUGAAGAAGGCCUUCGGGUUGUAAAGCCCUUUUGUUGGGAAAGAAAUCCAGCUGGCUAAUACCCGGUUGGGAUGACGGUACCCAAAGAAUAAGCACCGGCUAACUUCGUGCCAGCAGCCGCGGUAAUACGAAGGGUGCAAGCGUUACUCGGAAUUACUGGGCGUAAAGCGUGCGU